GGGCCCGUGGCUUAGUUGGUAAAGCGCCUCCAUGGCAUGGAGGAGAUCAGGAGUUCGAGUCUCCUCGGGUCCACCA
rnacentral:tRNA from 2 species